rnacentral:rRNA from 1 species
UACGUAGGGUCCGAGCGUUGUCCGGAAUUACUGGGCGUAAAGAGCUCGUAGGUGGUUUGUCGCGUUGUUCGUGAAAACUCACAGCUCAACUGUGGGCGUGCGGGCGAUACGGGCAGACUGGAGUACUGCAGGGGAGACUGGAAUUCCUGGUGUAGCGGUGGAAUGCGCAGAUAUCAGGAGGAACACCGGUGGCGAAGGCAGGUCUCUGGGCAGUAACUGACGCUGAGGAGCGAAAGCGUGGGGAGCGAACAGG